GAGAGAGAGAGAGAGAGAGAGAGGUUUGAAAGGUCGGAAGCAAUGGCGAGCACAAAAGUUCAAAGGAUUAUGACCCAACCUAUCAACUUGAUUUUUAGGUUUCUUCAAAGCAAAGCUAGGAUCCAGAUUUGGCUGUUCGAGCAGAAAGAUUUGAAGAUUGAAGGAAGAAUCAUUGUAAGUUAUUAUACAUUCGC